UCAAGUACGACUUCGCGUUCGUCUUCUUCCAGAGAACAUAGCGGCGUUCUUCUUCGCCGAUCCCGCUCCGUCAGUCCGAUUCAGCCUCGCCAUCUUCCUCUGAUUCCGCUCAAAGCUCUGCCGAUUCGCUUCAGCUUUCUUCGAUCCGACGCUUAAUCCUAACAUCUGGCCGCCACAAACCAAUACCAGUCGCGGCUUCCUUUCCUCUUCGUCUUGUUUUGUCGCAUCCUUGUGCCGUGAACAAAACCUCAAUCUUCUUUCUAAAAAUAACGGCAGCCGUAUCUUUCUCUUCUCCGUCAGCUUCGUACUUUGCUCAUCAGGUACGACUUUGUUGUGCGUUAGAGUCGUGUUUUGUGAUGAUGUUGCUUGUUCUGUGUUGAUUAUUAUGAUGGAUGCAGAUUCGUUGAUGAAGAUAUUGUGCUGAAUCGAUGUGGUUUGUUGAAGGAGCUGAGAGCAGAGAAUAUUUGAAGUUGAUGAUGAAGAAGGACGGUUAUGGUUCAGUUGCAGAGAAGCUGAAAUCGACUGAAGUUGCGGAUUGAUGUAUUGAAAAAUUAUUGAUGAAGAUGAAUGAAGGUUUGAGAGAGUUGCACCUUCCUGUUUUAGCUCCAUUUUGCUCAU